rnacentral:tRNA from 1 species
GUGCUAGUAGCUCAGUUGGUUAGAGCGCCGCUCUGUGGCAGCGGAGGUCGCGAGUUCAAAUCUCGUCUAGCACC